AGGGACAUUUAAAACAGAUUUUUGUUUUUCUUAACUCCUCUUGGAUGCUUCCCCAACUCCGUCCUUACCUGCACAGAGGGUUGUUGGCCAAGACCAGUGGCUGGAGCUGCCCCUGUGGCAUCAGGGUCCUUUGUGAGGUGGCCUCUGUGACAGAGGUGCUAUGACUCAGGGGCCACCAACCCCAAGCUCUCUGCACCAGCCACACCAGUCCCGGCCUCCAACUCCCCAACACCACCUGCCUGACCUAAGCUUUGCCAUGCUGCUGCCACUGCUGGGAGCCUGUGCUGUGGUGGGGCCGUUCUGGGGCCCUGAGUGGGAGCCAGUGCAGGGCCUGCUGUCCCAGGACUGCAGCUGCAGGGACCCCCGGUGCUGUGGCAACCUGCUCGUCAUCUGCCUCUUUCUGGUCUGGCAGGUCCGGCAUUUCUGGUACCACGUCAGCAGGAUCUGCUCCAGCAAGGAGAAUGUCAGCAAGGUGCCACUGCAGAACUGCAUCAGUCCCUCUGAGAGAGGCGCGGCUUCCUUCUGGCCCACCCCUGAAUUCUUCAGCCCCAGCCACUUCAGGGACCUGGACGCUCACACCCGACAUGCGGCUCACAGUCCGAGAUGGAGACACCAGAGGAACCUGCAGGAAGCCUGGGCCCAGUGCCCGCUCAGUCCACAGUGUCCGUGUCGGGACUCACCGUGGACGGUCUGCAGCCUCUCUGAGCGCAUCUUUGGCACCUCCUCCCUUUCAAGCACCGGUCUGCUCCCUCAGAACAGUUCCUGGGAAGCAUGGCACACGCUCUGGUGUCUCAGCAGCAGCCAGCUUCACCCUGCCCUGCACACAUGGCAAAAGAUACAGCAGCUGCUGGUUCACUCCCAUGAGUUGCUGGUGCCCCUGGAGCAGACUGUCAGCAGAAGGACCAGCUCUACCUCCACAACCUUAGCCAUCUCUCUCCCGGACCUCCCCGCAGCUCAGAGGCUGCGGGCCUGCCCCAGAGAGUCCCUGCCUGCUCCUUCCAGCCUGCACCUGGAAAUGCUCACCUGGAAGGCCUGCGGAAGCUCCCAAGACACCCGGACACCGUGCAGUGACACACAGACAGUAGCCAGAGAGUACAGUAGAAAGACCCAGGCUCCUAGGUGUGGAAACCAGAGAGAGGGCAGAGAAAUCCAGGCGUCCGAGGGCCAAUUGCCAACAGACUGUGGAACAGAGGACGCUGCAGAGGCCAAGGCCUUGGGAUGCGGAAAGCAGAGACAGGUCAUCAGAGAAACUGAGGGAGAGAUCCUGGCGCCAGAGCAGGAGAAGCAGAUGGGAGUUGAGAAUAGAGCCCAAGCUGAGGAGCUAGGGAAGAAAACACAGAGGGCGGCUGGAAGUAAGAGUCCUCCUGAAACCCGGGCUCAUACAGGGGAGAACCAAGAACAGUUAAGAUGGCAAACUGAUGCAGAGACCCAAACUCCAGAGUGGGGCUCCCAGGAUAAGAACAGAGAUGGGGAUGCGGGGCGGACACAGACGUACGAUGGGAAGAACCAGGAGGCCAGAGAGGGGGAAGAGGGCGUGGGCCAGGCCCGAGGACUAGAGAAACAGGGCCACCCUGGAGGGGACGAUGGUGAGGAGGCCCUGUCUCCUGAGGAGGAGGAACAAAACCAGAUGAGAGAUGAUACUGGUGCAGAAGUUGAGGCCGAAGAGGGGAGGAACAAGGACCAGGUUGGAAGUGGGGAGACCGUGCAAACCCAGGCACCUGGGGGACAGAACCUGGAAGGCAAACAACAGCACGAUGCACAGGGCCAGGGCCAGGGCCAGGAGUGCGGGAGACAGAAGGCUGCAGAAGCCCAGACGCCGGCGGGGGAGAAGCAGGGUCAGGGGGAAAGCGAGAGAGCCAGGAACACUGAAGCGUGUAGGGGAGAGAACUGGAAACGGUCACAACGUGCGACUCCAGCGGGGUGGGAAAACCAAGGCCUGGGGAGAGGCGAGGACGCUGGGGACCCUCAGACAUCGAGGAAGAAGCAGUUCAGGGAGAUCAGAGAGGUGGACUGGGUGGUGAUCAAGGCACCCUGGUGGGGAAACCAGAGACUAGUGGUGAGUGAGCUUCACCGAGAACUGAAGACGCCCUGUCAGGGGAAGCAGGACCAAAACCAGGCUGGAGAGGAAAAUACAGCAGACAUUCAGGCCACGGAGGAGAGGGAGCAGAGAGAGGGUGGCCAUGAGGAUGGUACAAACACCUGCGUCCCUGGGGCAGAGAACAAGGGACAGUUCGGAGGGGAGAGUGACGCUGAGACCCAGCUAGCCGGAGGGAAGAACAGGGAGUGGUUUGGAGAUGGGAACGGAACGGAUGCUCAGGCACCAGAGAAGACAAACCCGGGAAGAAUUCAAGGGGAGGAUGGCGCCGGGCUCCAGGAAGUUGGGCAAGAAAGUCAGCGUCAGCUGGGAAAUGAAUGUCAUGGAAACAGUUACAUCCCAAAGAGGAAGAGCCAGGAACAUCUUACAGGCAAGGAUGGGGCAAAUAUUCAGACACCUAAGGCAGAGAACUGGGGAGAAUUAACAAGUGAGCUGGGUGGAGAAAGCCAGGCAGCAGCGCGGAAGAAAGGGGAGCGGGCUGAGAAUGGGGAAGAAACCCAGACGCCAAUGACGAGAAACUCAAGAGGAGCUGGAGGAGAGGCCGGUACAGACACAGGCACGUCUGGGGAGGGAAGCCAGAGGCAGGCAGGGCGUGGCGUGGACAGAAACAGCCCUUUGUCAGAGUGGAAGAAUCAGGAACAGAGGAGAAGUGAGGAUGGAACAGAAAUCCAGGCCCCAGAGAAGAGCAAGCAGAGAGUCCCUGGAGUGGAAGAUGCUUUAAAGCCCAGGGGACCUGAGAGAGAGAACGGACAGCUGGAGGGUGAGAUUGGAGGAUGCUGCUCUCCUGGCAGAGGGAGCUGGGAACAGGCUGGAGGAGAGAACACGGCAGAGAGUCAGGCGCCCCAGGAGAGAAACUGCAAUGACGAUGGAAGUGAGUGUGAUGGAAGGGUCCAGAGAGUUCCAAGUAAGAAACCGAGACUGCUAAAAGGCAAAGUGAACGGAAAGAGCAGUUUCUCAGAAUGGGGGAAUCAGGAACAGAUCGGAGGCAAGAAUGGUUCAGAAAUUCAAAUACGAGGGGAGAGAAACCUGAGAGGGACAGACGAUGAUGGUACCCAGGCACCCGUGACCGGGGGCCAGGCCCGGCCGAGAAGGCAAACUGAUGGGGAGACGCCGACCCGACGGUCAAGGGACCAGACCAGGGGUGGAACUGAGGACACUGCAGAAAUCUGGGGUGUAGGGAGCCCAAGAAAAUGCAGACCUGAGGAUGCUACAGUGUCUCCAGCACCAAGGGGCAGAGACGAGGGUCAGGUCAGAGGAAAGGGUGCUGCCAGGGGCAGGUUCCAAGGUAACAGUUGUGGGGGUGGGGGACCCACAGGCAGAAAGCGCAGCCCGGCACAGCCUGCACCUCUCACUGGCUUUGGAUGCUGGGCCUUGGACCAGGAAGAGACAGAGGCUGUAAACAGCGGCGCCCCUGCUCCCCGUUCUGAGAUGAGGCCUCAGCCUUGCUGGGGUGGGGGUUUCCUGAUGGCCGGUGGGGAGGGCCAGCACGUGACCAGACACAGCACUGACCCUGCCAGCGAGCACAGCGUGGAGACCAGCCCCGCCUCCCAGCAGCCCCAACCCGGAUCCCAGAGAAGAUGGCAAAGCGACAAAAGGGUAGAUCCAGCAAAGGCCUCCAGCCUGAUGCGGCAGCCCAGGAGCCCACAGUCCCCCGGGGCGCUCUCUGCCUGCCCCCCUAUUCGGUGUGGCAGAGUCCCCCAUGCCGCUAGAACCCUGGCAGGUGCCCCUGCUGUCCCUCCCAAGCGGCCAGCCUUCAGCUUCAGGAAGAGCAGACUGCUGCUCCUGGAAUCUCUCAUGCGGAGGAGGAUUGCACACCUGCAGUGGGGCCUCCCGCGGCGGAUCCUGCAGUCUUAUCUGCUCUUUAGCUUCUUAGGCCCUUGCUCAAUGCCCGUGGCUGCGGAGAGGCUGCCUGGAUUAUGCAUAGGCCGGGAGCUCCAAAGAGAGCAGGAAAAGCAGCAUGGAGCCCAGGAAUUGACGCCAGGCCUUAAAUCCCCAAAGAAGCCUCAAAGAGUUCUACUCUCCGAAAGAAAAAACUCAACACUUCCCACACAGGCCAGGGCUCUGCAGAAGCACAGACCAUGCAGGUCCGCGCCCAGGGGCAUUUCCACUCCGCCUCCAAAGCCCAGGAGAAUCAGGCCACCAAGGGGCGCCAGAGAACUACAGCUCCAGCAAGCGGUCCCCACCGACGUGCUCCCUGCUCCCCGGAACCCCAGCCCUGCAGAGCCUAGGAGCUGGUGUGGCCCAGAAAAUGUGCGAGAAUCUUCCAGGGAGAACAGCAGCGGCAGGACAAUGAUCAGGCCAGGGGUCUCAGAAGUAGCGGAGUGGUCUUCCAGCAGAGCAAGGACCUCACCCUCCAGGGCCGGCCACAACUCCUGGAAAGAAGGCACAUCCUGGGAGGCUUCUGAGCGCCCCAGACUCAAAAGUCAGCAGCCCACCUACUGGAGAGGAGGCCCAGAGCCUGUGCAGGUUGGAGGGCCUGGGCAGCAGAGUCCCUCCUGUUCCCCAGACCCCUCCGGCUUCAAAGGGAGUCUCUACUCGGCUGCAGCCAGCCUGAGCGAGACCCUGCUGAGCAAGAGAUCCGGGUGCUCACAGCUGGCUAGGCCCCCGCCCUUGGCCUCUAACCUGAGCCUGCGGGGUCCGAGACAGCUUCCCGGCGAGGGGGACCUGCGCGCAAGGGAGGCCAGCGUCGGAGUCAGCGCUGCUUUAGAGCCUAGCCUUCAGCUCCCAGGGCUCUGCUGGGCUGGGGCGGCUCUGCCUAGGAUAGGCAGCCGCCAGGGUGAGGGGGCUCCGUGGAAUCCAGAAGUUGCUCCCCCAAGGUUUCGUUUUAUGAAGCAUUUGCAAUGUUUUUUCUUCCGACGUAGCAUUAAAAAAUAGGGCACAGGCUCAGAGUCCUCAGAACAUGUGAGCGGCCUGCUCAGCCCCAACCUCUAAUAAAACUGGUUACUUGGGCCCAGUAGCGUUCAGAUUUCUUUGGUGUAAGUUUUCUGAAUGCCAUCUUUUGGGGUUUGCAAAACUUUAUGGGUGGGAUAAAAACCUUUNNNNNNNNNNNNNNNNNNNNNNNNNNNNNNNNNNNNNNNNNNNNNNNNNNNNNNNNNNNNNNNNNNNNNNNNNNNNNNNNNNNNNNNNNNNNNNNNNNNNUUUUUGGUUUUUCUCCGGUACCGGGAACCGAACUCACGACCUUGCACUUGCCAGGCAGGCGCUUUUGCCGCUGAGCUAAAUCCCCAGCCCCUCUAUUCUGUUUUGAAGAUUUGAGGAAUGUGGGUCAGCACUCUGUCUUUUUGAGACAGAUUCUCACUAUGCAGUUUAGGCUGCCUGUGAGCUCACUUUGUAGCCCAGGCUGCUCUCAAAUUCGCAAAGGUCCUCCUGCCUCAGCCUCCCGAGUGCUGGGAUUACAGAUGUGCCACUGUGCCCAGCUCAGUGUCAUCUUCUUAAGACCCCUGUCCUCCAUCCAGGUCUUCAUAGUAGAGUCUACGGACGCUUUUAUCAUGGGUCUUUUUUCUUUUGGACCCUGUAGUCUCGCUAUGUACUUCAGGCUGACCUUGAAUACACUUCUGUAGCCCAGGGAAGACUCGACCUCCUGCCUCAGCCUCCAGAGUGAUCCUCUGGAGAUCCUCUGGAGAUCCUGGUGAUCCUCCUGCCCCAGCCUCCACACACCUGGGAUUACAAGUGUGUGAAAUUAUUAUAAUAAUAAUUACUAUUUUUAUUAUUUUGGUGGUACUGGGGAUUGAACCCAGGACCUUGCAUGGAGCUACAUCCCCAGCCUUUUUCUUUUUUGAGACAGUCUUGCUAAGUUACCCAGGCCAGGCUAUAACUUGCAAUCUUCCUUUCUCAGCCUCCCAUGUAGUUGGGAUUAUAGGAAUGGAUCACUGUACCUGGCUAAAAAAAUUAUUUUUUAUUGUAGUAAUAUACAUUGGACAUAACAUUAUCUUAACCAUUUUAAAAAAUUAUUUUUAAGCAGUCUGUAUUUACAAUACACAGUGCUGACAUUCCUCUGGGAAGUUGGUGCAUGUGCAACUCUCCUCCCCUCCCUCCGUCUCAACCAUUUUAAGUGUAUAGUGCAGUGUAAUUCAUAAUGUGCGAAGCCAGGCAUGGUGGUGCACACCUGUAACCCCAGCACUCAGGAGGCAGAGGCAAGAGGGUUGCUGCAAAUUUAAGGCCAGCCUGGGCUACAUAGCGAGAUCCUGUCUCAAAAAAACCAAGGGAAAAAAGAAAUAAUGUGCAGCCAUCACUACAAUCGCCUCUGGAAUGCUUUCAUCUUGUAAAGGUGAAACUCUACUCCCAUUAUACAAUGACUCCCUAUAUCUUCUUGCCCACACCCCUGGCAACCACCUUUCUGCUCUUUGUCUCUAAUUCUGACUACCCAAAGUACCACAUAUAUGUGGACUCAUGCAGUAAUUGUCUCUUUGUGACUGGCUUAUUUCAAGCAAACAAAUAAAUUUUUUUUUUUUUUUUUUUUUUGAGAUGGGGUCUUGCUAUGUAAUUCAGGCUGGAUUUGAACUCACUAUGCAGCCCAGGCUUGCUUUGAACUUGUGGCAAUCCUCCUGCCUCAGCCUCCGGAGUGCUGGGGUUACAGGCGUGUGCCAUCACACUUGGCUUACAAAAGUGCUUUUAAUGCUUUUUGGUGUAUACCCAGAAUUAGAAUUGAGCAUUAUAUGUUAAUAUUAUUUAUGUUUAAUUUUUUGAGGAACUUCGCAGUGUCUCCACCAUUUUAUACCAUUUCCCACCAACAGAGCAUGAGUUUCUAAUAUUUACAAUUUUUCACUGACACCUAUUAUUUUCUAUUGCUUUUGAUAGCAGUCAUCAGGGUGGUCUUGAAUUCACAGCAAUCCUUCUGCCUCAGCCUUCUGAGUGCCGGGAUUACAAGUGUGCACCUCCACACCUGGCUGUUUAUCUUGUUUUUUUGAGGUACUAGAAUUACACCCAGGGACUUCACAUCGAGCUACAUGACAAAGGGUCUCACUAAAUUGUAAAGUUUCCCAGGCUAGUCUCAAACCUGUAAUCUUCCUGCCUCAGCCUUCCAGGUUGCUGGGGUUACAGGUGUGCACCACCAAACAUGGCCUGGAAUGUCACUUCUGAGAAUGGGUGUCAAAGACUGGCUUCCAUCUUGGGCACCUCUGUGGCUCCUUGCUUGCUCCUGAGGGAAGCUACCCUCCAUGUUCUAAACUUCUCCAUGGAAAGUCACAUAUGACAAGGAAUCAAGGAGGUUGCUGGACAACAGGCAUGGAGAAAAUAGCCUGGCUUGUAGUCUCAGCUUCCUGGGAGGCUGGAGCCCAGGACAGCCCAGGCAACACCACAAAUUGGGUGGGUUAAACAACAAAAGUUUAUUUUCUCGCAGUUCUGCAAGUUAGAAGUCCAAGAUCAAGGUUUGGGCUGACUUGGUCUCUGGCAAGGGUGUCUUCUUGGCUAGCAGAUAGUGGCAUUCUCCUGUGUCCUCACAUGGCCUUUCCUCCAUGUAUAUAUGUUUUUUUUUAUUUUUUAUUUUUUAUUUUUUUUGGUUUUUCUCCGGUACCGGGAACCGAACUCACGACCUUGCGCUUGCCAGGCAGGCGCUUUUGCCGCUGAGCUAAAUCCCCAGCCCCCCUCCAUGUAUAUAUGGAGGGAGAAAAAUAUGCAAUAAUAUUUUAUUGCUGUGGUUGAGGCCCAUGGUGAUGAAGAAUGAAACUGCAUAUGGAGGAGGUAGGCUGGAGGCAAAUUUAUUUUUUAUUUUUGUUUUUGUUUUUUGAGACAGGGUCUUGCUUUGUAGUUCAGACUGGCUUUGAACUCACUAUGUAGCCAAGACUGGCCAAACUCAUGGUGAUCCUCCUGCCUCAGCCUCCUAAGUGCUAGGAUUACAGGUGUGUGGCACCCGGCUUACACUAUAUAUUAUUUUUUAAAAAUCUCUUCAUUAAAAGGGAUUACUGUUAUAUUUAAAGUAUAUAAUGUAUUUAAAAUACAUUGGCUGAGCACAGUGGCACAUGCCUGUGAUCCCAGGACACAGAGGCUGAGGCAGGAGAAACAUCAUGAGUUUGAGGCAAGCCUGGGCUACAUAGUGAAACCUCGCCUCAAAAAACUAAAAAGAAAAAAAAGAGUGUUUACUUGCUCAAAGAUCAUUUCAUAAUCUUCUAGUGGGUGGCUGUUUUCCUAGUGAUUCCUCAUGGAGAGCACUUUUUCCCCUUUUACAGUGUUUCUGAAUGUCAGCUGGGAACGUUAAGAAAGUCCCUGGUCAUUGACAGACUGUUGUUAAUAGUGUGGUAAAGUGAUGUUUCUUCUUCAGCAUUCCUUAUGCACUCGAAGUCCUAGCCCUCUGUGAAAGAAUAUUUUAAUGGAAGUGGCUCAGCUUCUUUGAGAGAAAGGUGCAAUGGAAAUGUAAGAUAAUAUAAAUAACUUGUAGAGAAAAAUCUCUGAGAUCACUUAUUUUUUUUCUGUACCGGGGAUUGAACCCAGGGCCUUAACACCGAACUACAUGCCCAGCUCUUUUUAUUUUUUAUUUUGAGACAGGCUUUCACUAAAUUUCCCAGGCAGUACUCCAAUUUGCGAUCCUCCUGCCUCAGCCUCCUAAAGCGCUGAGAUUACAGGCGUGUGCCACCAUGACCGUAUUCUUUUUUUAAAGAGUAGAAAAACGGUUUUCUCUUUUUUCUUUCCAAGGCUAUUAACAGCUAUUUUAUAAAUGCCUUCCCACUUCGGUGUAGCAAAAACCCAGCAGGUUCUAAGAGCAACUGCUUUGGACAUCCCCGCACCCUCUCUAACGUCCACGCAGCCACCACCUGUUCUCAAGGGCAAGCGCACGCC
rnacentral:lncRNA from 1 species